rfam:Trichobilharzia regenti genome assembly, scaffold: TRE_scaffold0000518
AUCCAGCUGACGAGUCCCAAAUAGGACGUUAGGCGUAUCCUGGAU